rnacentral:rRNA from 1 species
UACGUAGGUGGCAAGCGUUGUCCGGAUUUAUUGGGCGUAAAGCGCGCGCAGGUGGUGCGGUAAGUCUGCCGUGAAAUCUCCCGGCUCAACUGGGAGGGGGCGGUGGAGACUGCCGGACUGGAGGGACUCAGAGGCCGGUGGAAUUCCCGGUGUAGUGGUGAAAUGCGCAGAUAUCAGGAGGAACACCGGUGGCGAAGGCGGAUCUCUGGGCCUUGCCUGACGCUGAGGCGCGAAAGCUAGGGGAGCGAACAGG